rnacentral:rRNA from 1 species
GAGACAAGGGCCCAGNNCCUACGGGGCGCAGCAGUCGNGCAAACUUUGCAAUACACGAAAGUGUGACAGGGYUAUCCCGAGUGCCGNCCGCUGAGGAUGGCUUUUACCCAGUCUAGAAAGCUGGGGGAAUAAGGAGAGGGCAAGUCUGGUGUCAGCCGCCGCGGUAAUACCAGCUCUCCGAGUGGUGUGGAUGUUUAUUGGGCCUAAAGCAUCCGUAGCUGGCUGAGCAAGUCCCCUGUUAAAUCCACCGAAUUAAUCGUUGGANUGCGGGGGAUACUGCUCGKCUAGGGGACGAGAGAGGCAGACGGUAUUCUCGGGGUAGGGGUGAAAUCCUAUAAUCCCGGGAAGACCACCAGUGGCGAAGGCUGUCUGYUAGAACGCGCCCGACGGUGAGGGAUGAAAGCUGGGGGAGCGAACCGGAUUAGAUACCCGGGUAGUCCCAKCCUGUAAACUAUGCAGGCUAGGUGUUUGAAUCGGCCACCGUGCCGCUCUAGUGCCGCAGGGAAGCUGUUAAGCCUGCCGCCUGGGGAGUACGAUCGCAAGAUUGAAACUUAAAGGAAUUGGC